GUUAGGCGCCGGGCUUCCGUGUGCUCCCAUGUGCAGCCCGCCAGCUGUGGUGUCACUGCUGCUGCUUUGCUCUAAGAACUCUGUUCUGAAAUGCUGGAUUUGAGGCCUCUGCACGUGGCACAACAAAAAAGAGGUCUUCCCCAGAGAUGCUUAAUGGAUUUACCUGACAGAACUGGAUAAUCUUCCUCACUGGUGAAGUGGAAAUGGCAUUUAUGGGAAAGAUACUGGAGUACAUGGAAUCAAGAAGGAAGCCUUCGGACCUUGACUUGUAAAACCCAAAGGAACCAAGGCAUGAUGGUUCUUGCGACAGGAUUGUUGAACACUGUCGCUGGCAUGGUUACUGCUUGUUUACUGCUGCACCACUGCUGGAUUCUUGUUGAGUACACUGCUAUGCUAUGUAUGGCUUCUCAUCUUCCCCUGCAACUUUGUGUCACUCACUCAAGAUUCAAACUCUAGGAUGAGUAUAAGUUUGGCUGAACUUAAGUAAUGUAUCCAUGUGCUUUGUGUCAAAGAGAAGGGAGGAAAUAUGGUCCUGAAGUUAGAUAUGAAGGUUAAAGCUGGCAUCGUAAGACAAGAGAAGGGAGCAUGGACUGAUAAAGCAGACUGGAGGGAUGGCUCAUGACAGUCUGAGGUAAGCCAAGAUCUCAUUCAUAUAAAUUGGACAAUAAAAAAAGAAAAUGUUAUUUUUCAGUAUCUGGUUCAGCCUUGUUCCCACCCUGCUCACCCUUAGUAGCUACUAUUUUUUUUUUAUUUCUUCUGUAUCUGUCUAGAAUUUUUUCUAUAAUCAAGUAACAUGAAUACAGAUCUUUUCUUCCCUAUCUACACAUAAGAAAACAUAUUAAAUCACUGUUCUACAUUGUGCUUUUUGUAUUUAAUGUAUUUUGCCGUUCUUUAUCCGUACAUAAUUUCUUCCCUUUUUUAUACAGUUCCAUAUAUGAUUUGUGGCUUAUCAUAAUUUAUCUUUAAAUUACAUAGAAUAUAAAAUAAACAGGUUUAAAUUAUCAUAAUUUAAGAUAAACCAGUACAUUACUGAUAUCUAAGUUUUUCCUUCAACCUUUUGCCGUCGCAAACUAAUCUUGCAAUGGAUAUUCAAAAGUCAUUUUGCAAGUGUACGUGUAUGUCUAUUGAAUAUAGAUGCAGAUAUAAUAAAUUUCCAAAUGGGAAAUUUCCCAAUUGAAAAAUACAUACAAACUUUGCUCCAUUAGGCUUGAAUUUUUGCUCCCAUUCGCAGUGUGAGAGACUGCCCAUUUUAUCCUAGCAACUUCACAAAAAACCAUGACUUUGCACUUUUGUAUUUCUGCAUAUCCAAUGAAUUUCACAUUUUUUCUUGCCACUUUUAUUUAUAUUUGUUUAUCAAAUUUUGUCAAUUUUAAAUUUAGUCUUUUAAAUUUUUGUGAAUGUUCCUUAACAUCAUCAAAUUAUCUUUCUCUUGUCAUUUCUAAAUGAUGCAUUGGUGAGAAUGCCAUUUUCCUCCACACAAUUAUAAUGGAAUCUCCCAUAUUAUCUUCUGGAGCUUUUAUGCUGUUAUUUUUUACAUUUAAAUCUUUGAUCCACUGGUUGUAAUUUAGUGUAAUGAGUAUGAUGGAACUCCAAAUCCAUCUUUUUCGCAUAGAUACCCAGUUACCCAUUUAUUCAAGUCUAUAAUUUGCUGUCUUGGGUGUCACAUUUAUUCUACAUUAAAUUGCCAUACAAUUUAGAUUUAUUUUUUGAUUUUUAAUCAUAAUACAUUGGUCCAUUUGCCCAUAUUUAUGAAAAAAAUCUCUUACCCACUAGGGUCAUAAUUUACUUCUUAGAAGACCUUGAGGCAGAUUGUUGCGCUGGGUUUAAUUUUAACUACUGAAAAAAUAACCUGUGGUAUGAAAGUAUAAGAAAGCUUGAGAGAAACACUGUUACAGUGAAAUUUUCUUUUUUUUGCCAAAAAUCUCUCCCUUUCCAGCCUUUCCAUAAUUCUUGAAAUUAUUAUACAGUGUAUACUUUAGGGUUACUGUGUGGAUAACUCUCUUUCAAAUGCAAAUAUUAAACUACUUAAAACAUUUUUUAACAAAAUAAUAUGUAGCUAGAGAUAAACCUUAGACACAGCAGUCAAAAUCCAGGGUAAAUUACAUUAUAUCAGAGGCACUGGAAAAUCUUCAAGGAAGUCUUCCAUUUUAAAAGAGCUUAUAUGCCUUUCUGUUCCCUGUCCAUUUAUUUCCAUAAGGCCAUAUUAAAUUAAUCCCAUGGUCAGCAAUCUGCUGAGUACUGUGUCAAGAGCGCAGUAAAAGUUCAAUAUAUGAUUCUAAUCUGAGGAAUUUUUUAUCCAGAGUAAAGAUUGAUGUUUACUGCUACCAAGGAGAGUUUGAGGAUUGUUAUGUUACUAUCUUCCUUUUAUUAUCCUUAUACGUUACAGAUGCAGGCUGAACUUCAUUCCCAAAUUCAAAAAAAAAACAUUCCCUAGAGCAGAGGCACAAACAUAGGUCCAUUUGAUGGCAAAACAUGAAUCUUGAUUGAAGCCCUUACAGGGAUUUUUAAAUGUGCUGGAAUACAGGAGCAGCCCAUUUUAUUGCAAGCUCUGUCUCAAGUCCAACAAAGACAAAGGCAUCUGCUCAUUGAUCAUUUAUUAUGGUAUGCACAGUAUCUAAUUCCUUAUGAAACAACAAAAAGCAUCCUUACUUAAAAUAUAUUUUUUUUCUCUUUUUCCCCUACCACUUAUUGUGUUUGGCCAUAGUUUUCUACAGACUUUUUAAUCAAGUUAUAAUUUAUAGAAAAAACACAACUGCAUUUUAAUUUUAUUAAUGUGUAAUAUCAUAAAAAUACACUUAUUUUAAGGGCACUUUUUAAAUGAAUCUUGACAAAUAUAUAACCCUAUAAUACGUCUUCCCCCAACACAUGCAUAUUCAAAACCAAAAAGGAGAAUAUUUUCAUCACCUCCCUAUGUACCCUCAUGUUCUUUUGUCCCCUUUGUGGUUGAUCUUGCGCUGCCCCUCCAGGUCCAUAACCCCAGGAAACCACUGAUCUGUUUGCCAGCAUAGGUCGGCUUUGCUUUUCUAGAUAGAAUCACAUAUUAAUGAAGAUCAUGGAGCAUACACUCUUCUGUGUCUUGCUUUUUCUGUCUCAACAGAAUAUGUUUGAGACUCAUCCAAGUGGCUCAUUGUUAACUUACAAAUUUGUAAGGUGCUUAGUAAUAUCUCUUUCCCAUUUAUAUCAAGUUACUGUCUUAAUAAGCUGUAGAUGUUACGUAUUCUGGAUACCAGUUCUCUGUCAGAUACAUAUGUCAGAAUAUUUUCUCUAGUCUUUAACAUACCUUUUCACCAGAAAUCAGAAGUUUUUAUGUUUAAUGAAUUACAAUAUUUUCUUUAUAUACCCAAAUAAGAUAUCUAUGCCUAUUUCAAAUUUAAAAAAAAAUGUUUUCUUCCAUAGGUUUUAUAGGUAUAGAUUUAAGGUUUCAUGAUCCAUUUUUAGUUAAUUUUUCUGUAUUAUGUGAGAAAAAGAUUGUAGUUUGUUUUUCCAUCCUAAAUGAUAUCCAUUUGUUCUGGUACCAUUUAUUGAAAAGGCUUUUAAUUUUCCCAUUAAAUUACACUGGCACUUUUGUUAAAAAUCAAUUACCCAUGUAUGCAUUGGUUAAUUUCUGGAUCCUUUCUGUUUUAAUGAUCUAUUACCUAAUUGCCUUCAUUCCUGUAGUCUAUUAAAUGUUGAAAUAAGAUGGUAUAAAUCCAUCUUAUAGUAUAUAAAUACAUUCUACUUCUGUAAAAUUGUGUUGGCUAUUCUAGGCCCUCUGUACCCCCAUACUCUUUAAAAAAUGAACUUACAGAUUCAACAAAACAAGUCUUUGACUGAGACUGGCUUAAAUCUAUAGGUCAAUAUAAGGACAAUUGAUGGUCUUUAAUGUUUUUCAAAAUAGAAAGAUUGUAUGUAUCUGCAUUAAUUUAGGUCUUUAAUGUAUUUCACCAACAUUUAUAGUUUCAGAAUACCGAUCUUGCACAUAUUUUGUUAAAGACUCCUCAAAUUUUCAUGUUUUUGAUGAUGUUGGAAAUUUUUGUUGUUGUAAUUGGCAUUAUUUUGAAAUAAUUCAUGGCAGGUAUACAGGAAUACAAUUGGUUGUUGAGAGCUAAGCUUGGCUCUUCCUGUAAGUGGCCUGAUAUCGUCUCUGAAAAUGGUUCACCAUUCACUUAACCUGGAAAACCCCCAAAACUGUGCAAAUCAGAGGUUCAGAUCUUUGCAUUCGCUUUAAGAAUAUGAGUAGAACUGUCCCAGUCAUCAAGGGUAUGCAUAUCCAAAAAGCUACCAAGUAUCUUAAGGAUGUCACUUUACAAAAGCAGUGUGUCUCAUUUUGUCAUUACAAUAGUGGAGCUGAUAGGUGGGCUCAGGCCAGACAGUGGGGCUGGACACAGGCUCAGUGACCUAAAGAGAAUACUGAAUUUUUGUAGCACAUGUAUAAAAGUACAGAGAAUAAUACGAAUUUGAAAGUUUACCUGUAGAUUCUCUGAUCAUUGAGCACAUCCGGAUGAAAAAAGCAGCUGAGAUACAGAAUUUAUAGAGUUCAUGGUUGGAUUAACCCAUAUGCAUGCUUUCUGCCACAUUGAGAUGAUACUUGGUGCAAAAGAAAAGAUUGUUCCUAAACCAGAAGGGAAAAUUGCACAGAAUAAAAAGAUAUCCCAGAAAAGACUGAAGAAAUGAAAACUUACUGACUGUGAAUAAAUUCAACAAGAAAAGCAAGUAAAAGUAAACAUCAACAAACUAACCUUGUAUCCUAUUACUUUGUUAACUUAAUUACUUGUAGUAGCAUUUUACAGAUUCCCUAGAAUGAUCU